CCCGUGGAUCUCCCUUCCCUGAGCUGGAGAGAGCGGAAGCGCCCCCGGGGCAGGCUGGGAGAUGUAGUUCCUGACUCUCCCUGGACCGGAAGUGACGCUGGGUGGGAGAGAAGAAGCCGAGCUGCAAACGCGCGCGGGCGGCUCCGGCUCUGCCUGGCUCGCGCGGGGCCGUUGGAGCCUCUCCCGGGGCCGGAGAAGGGUGUGUGACUGAGAUCAGGGCUCCUAUCGUACUGAGCGUGGCCCUGUUCUGCCAGGCACUGAAGAGACCCCAGGUGAGAUCAGACCCCACUGUUGUGCCAGGAGUCCAUGUCUCUGCUCCCUGUGGCCGUGGUGCAUUCCGUACCAAAGCAGCAUGUCAGCAGAGCAGACGCACACACCGUAGCUCUGCCUGGAACACGCAGCAUUCACUGCCAGACGGGCUGGGCGAUUUUUAAGGGGCUGAUAUGCCUGGCUGGGAUGGAUUCCCUUGGACGAGGGUCUGAGGCUCUCAUAGUUUGAGAUAUUCCUUUGUGCAUAGUCAGUUCUUUCCAUUUAUUGUUUUCCCCCUACCUAUUCCCGAUGCCCUUCCCUUCUUUACUUGCUUUGGUUAUUUCAGUUCCAGCUUUUAAAUGGGAUCUAAGAUUUGCAAAGCUGAAUGAAAGAUAAAACAAACAGAACCAUUUGAAUGUUGGCCCAUAGCUGGUAGAACUGUGCCUAGUGAAGGUCGGCUGUAAUGACCGGGUUCCCUAUAGCAUUUUCUGGUGGGGCAGAUAAAACAACCUCAAAGAGUCAAAUGUGCGUUUUAGGGCAAAAGGGUUAAAUGCAUGAGAAAUGAACUGACACUUAAUUUCCAUUUCUUAAUGCCUAAAAUUUUGACGCUCGCACCAAUUUUUUUUUUAAAGCUAUGCACAGCACACAGUCAAGUUAAUGAAUGAAAGCACACCCAUUAUUGACUGCUUUGUGUUGCAUGAGCAUCUGAUUAAGCACCUAAUUAAAACUGUACCAAUGUAAGUGAAAACGCAUCAACCCAGCUUAGCUCCAGGGUGUUCAGAUGUUUCUAAAUUAAAUACAUGGCAGAAUUGUUAAUGAAGAAAAUGCACUGUAAUGCCUCUACCCAGUCCUGUUGACUUCUUCUCCCAACCCUCCUAUGAGUUCUGGCCUCUUGGUCAACUGAGCUCUCAGUCCCACUUCAGCUGUGCCCUCUCCCAGCCUAACCCAUUUCUACAGCAAUGUUAAUCCCCCUCAUCAAGGCAGGGGGCUGGCGCUGCAACCCCUAAGGUACUUGUGUUAAUCACUGUCUCUCAUUCUGGUGCUAUUAAGAUUUCAGGGAAUGAUUUCUCAGAAUUACUCACUCUGGGAGGUGGGAGAGAGGAGAGGCUCAGGGGGUUUGGUCUUAGGGCCACGUUCAACUCUGGUAGCCUCCAUGUUACCUCAUCCUCCACUCUUCCCCAUGUGUCUCUGCUCAUGUGUCAGAGUGUCACCUUCUGAUCAUAAUGCCACUCGCCUCAGCAGAGUUCCCAAACAGGAGCUAUAUGAAGAGGGGCUUACGGUACUGAGAGUGAAAUACAUCACAGAGAGGGAGUAAUUAUCCUGAAAUGAAACAUUCCAGUCUAGGAAGUGAAAGAAUUCAAGUACUUCAUUACUUAAAAUUAUGCUUGAAAGGAUUGGAUUUUUAUGAAUAAAUUGCAGUAAAUGUUGAUUUCACUGUACACAGACACAGAUGAAAAAAUAUUUAUAUAGGUAAUAUACAGAAAUGCUUCUGGAGAAAGUGGAGUUUUAUUUAAGGAUAUUUACACUAUAUAUUUUGGGUGUGAUCUUGACAAUUUCUCUUUGAACAGUUAUCUGAUUUGGUUUUUGGAAUCUCAGCAGUUACUGUAAUUAAAUUAUUGUUGUCUGAUGACCCCCAUAACUUCCCACAGCUCUGAACAUUGAAAUUGUAAACAUUGAAAAAGGGCUUAAAAAUAAAUAUCGCUAUCUGUUGAAAUUAAAAGAAAGAAAUAGACAAAAUGAAUUUUGGCAAACCCACUUAGCAGCAAUUACAAUAUGUUAGGGGAUGGAAAUUGACAACUAAGGCACCAACCUUAAUUCUGCCCUGUAGUGAGACCAGGCAAUAGCUGUAGGGCUACGAAUUAGGCAUUUUAGUGUAUAAAGUUCCGGAUUACAAAUUGGAAUAAUCUAAAGACACAUGAGAUCUUUUCCUCAGGAUAUCACCGUCACUGGGUUGUUUCCCUUAUUGAUAAUUCCCAGAAGGGAACAGAUUAAUAACAUUUUAUCAGUUAUGAAGUGUCCAUUUCAGAUUUCUGGGGAGUGUCUGUUGUUUUGCACUAGGGGCCAGGUCCUUGGAGAGACGGAACCUUGGUUUCAUUUGAACUUCUCCAUGCUCAGCAGCUUCUGGAAUUUGCUUCAAAGUAUUUACAUGUUUCCCUGCCCUGUUGUUAAAAGUGCUGCUUUAGAAAGUGGGGAAGGGCAGGAACUGACU